rnacentral:rRNA from 1 species
CCUACGGGGGGCUGCAGUGGGGAAUCUUGCGCAAUGGGCGAAAGCCUGACGCAGCAACGCCGCGUGCGGGAUGAAUGCCUUCGGGUUGUAAACCGCUUUCAGCAGGGACGAAAAUGACGGUACCUGCAGAAGAAGCCCCGGCUAACUACGUGCCAGCAGCCGCGGUAAUACGUAGGGGGCAAGCGUUGUCCGGAUUUAUUGGGCGUAAAGAGCUCGUAGGCGGUUUCGUAAGUCGAGUGUGAAAAAUCUGGGCUCAACCCAGUGGAGCACUCGAU